rnacentral:rRNA from 1 species
CAGUAGCCGCGGGAAUACAGAGGGUGCGAGCGUUAAUCGGAUUUACUGGGCGUAAAGCGUGCGUAGGCGGCUUUUUAAGUCGGAUGUGAAAUCCCUGAGCUUAACUUAGGAAUUGCAUUCGAUACUGGGAAGCUAGAGUAUGGGAGAGGAUGGUAGAAUUCCAGGUGUAGCGGUGAAAUGCGUAGAGAUCUGGAGGAAUACCGAUGGCGAAGGCAGCCAUCUGGCCUAAUACUGACGCUGAGGUACGAAAGCAUGGGGAGCAAACAGGAUUAGAUACCCGUGUAGUCCCUGUCUCUUAACC